AUUUUUACCAAGUUUCUGGGUGAUUCUUAUGCAUCUCUUUUGCCAUCUAUCUAAGGAUUCAUAACUGAGAGCCACUAGUAUAGACUAUGAAUAUAACACUUAUAUAGAUAGGGCUCUUCCUGUAUAGCAGGAGUCCCCAACCCAGGCCACAGACGAGUAGUUGUCUGUGGCCUGUUAGGAACUGGGCCACACCACAGGAGGUGAGUGGCAGGUGAGUGAGCAUUAUGGCCUGAGCUCCACCUCCUGUCAGAUCAGUGGCAGCAUUAGAUUCUCAUAGGAGCACGAACCCUACUGUGCUGUGCAUAUGAGGGAUCUAGGUUGUGUGCUCCUUGUGAGAAUCUAACUAAUGCCUGAUGAUCUGAGGUGGAACAGUUUCAUUCUGAAACCAGACAUCCUCCCCGCCCCCCACCAGUUCGUGGAAAAAUUGUCUUCCACAAAACUGGUUCCUGGUACUGAAAAGGUUGGGGACUGCUGCUGUAUAGUGUUUAUAUAUAGAGUUGUUCCUUUUUUAAGGCCCUCACUAGAGGAGAGGAGGCCUGGAAUAAUUAACUUAGUCCAGUCUCAUCCUAACAUUUAAAAUUUAUGCAAACACAUACACAUGCACAUUGGUAUUUGUUCUACACACAAAUGUACACAGUAUGGCAAGGACCUAUUGAUCUUGCUUAUUGAUAAUAAUUGGUAGUACCUAGCAUAUUAUCUGACAUAUAGUAGGAAUUCCUAACAUAUGCAUAUUAUGUGAGUGGACUAUUAAGGGAAAACAAGUAAACCAAAUCUAUACAAAUAUAGAAUGAAGAGCAAGUACUAAUCUUUAUCCUAAGGUGGCUAUAAUCCUGCUAUAAGUUGGCUGGUCCAUUUAAAGUCAGGUAUUAAGAGCCCUCUUUUCCAAAUGAAUUCCACCAAAAACUGCAUUUCAACCCCUUUAAUUCCUUUCCACUCUCAUCGCUGGAUUCCUUAAUAUCAGGGCUUCCCUUAGGGGAUAGUAGGUGGUAAGUUCACAGGAUUAUUUUUGUAUUCAAGAGGUAGAUUGUCAUAUAAAUAUAUCUGCAGCAUUGAACAUGAAAAUAAAAAAGGAUUAUUUUCAUGUAGGUACAUAGUAGUUAGUUAAUAAAUAUUCAAGUAAUAGAACACUUUAGGACUUCUAUAUGGAAAAGAGCCAUGAAGCCAGGAGUGCUCACAGAACAUUUUCUAGAAAAGUAGGACCUUGCAUGAGUUCUUUGAAUGAAUGUACUUUGCAUAGGCAAGAGAAUUCUUUCCCGAGAUUCUCACUUUUUCUUUUUUCUCCAGCUUUAUUAAGGUAUAAUUGACAAAAGUUUUAUGUACUUAUGGUACAACAUGAUGUUUUCAUAUAUGUAUAUGUUGUGGAAUGAUUAAAUUAAGCUACUUAAUGUAUCUAUUACUUCACAUACUUAUUUGUUGUGGUGAGUUUUAUUUUCACAAUUUUUUAAGGCUAUCAUACACGUAAAGCAUAUGAUACUGCAAUUUCAUUUAUCAUGGUGAGUUUUAUUUCCAUUGUAUUUUUAAAGGCUAUCAUGCAUGUAAAGCGUAUGAUACUGGAUUUUCAUUUAUUAUGUCACCAUGAUAAAUAAAUAAAGAAGAGAAAGUGGCUUUAAGGAAAAGAGCAUAAGAUAUAUGCAAAUACUGCAAAGAUUAUGAGGGUGCUCUGUGAAUGACUGAAGUUUGGAAAUACUACCAUAUAAGGUAUUACUGAAUGUAACAACUGAUUUUCUCUGCUAAGACAAAUCUGUCUUAGCAAUUUUCAAGUAUAUGAUAUAUCAUUAGUUAUAGUCAUCAUGCUGUAAAAUAGAUCUCCAGAAUUUUUUCAUCCUGUCUACUUGAAACUUUGUACCCUUUGACCAACAUCUCUGCAUUCUGCCCACCAUACCCCAAUGUCCCCCUGGCAACCACCAUUCUGUUUUCUGCUUCUAUGAGUUUGACUUUUUUAGAUUCUACAUGUGAUAUUGUUUGGCUCUGUGUCCCCACCCAAAUCUCAUCUCGAAUUGUAAUCCCCACGUGUCAAGAGAUGGACAAUUCCCACCUGUCGAGAGAGAGAGGUGACUGGAUCAUGAAGGCAAUUUCCCCCUUGCUGUUUCAUGAUAGUGAGUUCUCACGAGUUCUGAUGGUUUGAUAAGCAGUUUUCCCCACUGUUGCUUGCUCUCUCUUGCCUGCCACCAUGUAAGAUGUGCCUGUUUCUCCUUCUGCCAUGAUUGUAAGUUUCCUGAGACCUCCCCAACCAUGCAGAACUGUGAGUCAAUUAAACCUCUUUUCUUUAAAAAUU
rnacentral:lncRNA from 10 species